rnacentral:rRNA from 1 species
AGCUUGUUGGUGAGGUAACGGCUCACCAAGGCUUCGACGGGUAGCCGGCCUGAGAGGGCGACCGGCCACACUGGGACUGAGAUACGGCCCAGACUCCUACGGGAGGCAGCAGUGGGGAAUAUUGCACAAUGGGCGCAAGCCUGAUGCAGCAACGCCGCGUGCGGGAUGACGGCCUUCGGGUUGUAAACCGCUUUCAGUUCCGACGAAGCGCAAGUGACGGUAGGAACAGAAGAAGGACCGGCCAACUACGUGCCAGCAGCCGCGGUGAUACGUAGGGUCCGAGCGUUGUCCGGAAUUAUUGGGCGUAAAGGGCUUGUAGGCGGUUUGUUGCGUCGGAAGUGAAAACUCAGGGCUUAACCCUGAGCCUGCUUCCGAUACGGGCAAACUAGAGGGAUGCAGGGGAGAAUGGAAUUCCUGGUGGAGCGGUGGAAUGCGCAGAUAUCAGGAGGAACACCGGUGGCGAAGGCGGUUCUCUGGGCAUUUCCUGACGCUGAGAAGCGAAAGCGUGGGGAGCAAACAGGCUUAGAUACCCUGGUAGUCCACGCCGUAAACGGUGGGCACUAGGUGUGGGGGACAUUUUACGUUCUCCGUGCCGAAACU